rnacentral:rRNA from 1 species
CGGCAAGAGCUCAAAUUUGAAAUCUGAAGUCUUUGACUUUCGAGUUGUAAUUUGAAGAGGAUGCUUCGGAUGCGCCCCGGCCUAAGUUCCUUGGAACAGGAUGUCGCAGAGGGUGAGAGUCCCGUACGCGGCUGGAGGCUUAUUCCAUGUGUAGCUCCUUCGAA